GUGUCAGCCGCCGCGGUAAUACGUAGGGUGCGAGCGUUAAUCGGAAUUACUGGGCGUAAAGCGUGCGCAGGUGGUUCGUCAAGUCUGAUGUGAAAGCCCCGGGCUCAACCUGGGAAUGGCAUUGGAAACUAGCGGGCUUGAGUGUGGCAGAGGGGGGUGGAAUUCCACGUGUAGCAGUGAAAUGCGUAGAGAUGUGGAGGAACACCGAUGGCGAAGGCAGCCCCCUGGGCUAACACUGACGCUCAUGCACGAAAGCGUGGGGAGCAAACAGGAUUAGAAACCCUGGUAGUCC
rnacentral:rRNA from 1 species